rnacentral:rRNA from 1 species
GAUGAACGCUGGCGGCGUGCCUAAUACAUGCAAGUCGAGCGAACAGAUAAGGAGCUUGCUCCUUUGACGUUAGCGGCGGACGGGUGAGUAACACGUGGGUAACCUACCUAUAAGACUGGGAUAACUUCGGGAAACCGGAGCUAAUACCGGAUAAUAUUUCGAACCGCAUGGUUCGAUAGUGAAAGAUGGUUUUGCUAUCACUUAUAGAUGGACCCGCGCCGUAUUAGCUAGUUGGUAAGGUAACGGCUUACCAAGGCGACGAUACGUAGCCGACCUGAGAGGGUGAUCGGCCACACUGGAACUGAGACACGGUCCAGACUCCUACGGGAGGCAGCAGUAGGGAAUCUUCCGCAAUGGGCGAAAGCCUGACGGAGCAACGCCGCGUGAGUGAUGAAGGUCUUCGGAUCGUAAAACUCUGUUAUUAGGGAAGAACAUACGUGUAAGUAACUGUGCACGUCUUGACGGUACCUAAUCAGAAAGCCACGGCUAACUACGUGCCAGCAGCCGCGGUAAUACGUAGGUGGCAAGCGUUAUCCGGAAUUAUUGGGCGUAAAGCGCGCGUAGGCGGUUUUUUAAGUCUGAUGUGAAAGCCCACGGCUCAACCGUGGAGGGUCAUUGGAAACUGGAAAACUUGAGUGCAGAAGGGGAAAGUGGAAUUCCAUGUGUAGCGGUGAAAUGCGCAGAGAUAUGGAGGAACACCAGUGGCGAAGGCGACUUUCUGGUCUGCAACUGACGCUGAUGUGCGAAAGCGUGGGGAUCAAACAGGAUUAGAUACCCUGGUAGUCCACGCCGUAAACGAUGAGUGCUAAGUGUUAAGGGGUUUCCGCCCCUUAGUGCUGCAGCUAACGCAUUAAGCACUCCGCCUGGGGAGUACGACCGCAAGGUUGAAACUCAAAGGAAUUGACGGGGACCCGCACAAGCGGUGGAGCAUGUGGUUUAAUUCGAAGCAACGCGAAGAACCUUACCAAAUCUUGACAUCCUUUGACAACUCUAGAGAUAGAGCUUUCCCCUUCGGGGGACAAAGUGACAGGUGGUGCAUGGUUGUCGUCAGCUCGUGUCGUGAGAUGUUGGGUUAAGUCCCGCAACGAGCGCAACCCUUAAGCUUAGUUGCCAUCAUUAAGUUGGGCACUCUAAGUUGACUGCCGGUGACAAACCGGAGGAAGGUGGGGAUGACGUCAAAUCAUCAUGCCCCUUAUGAUUUGGGCUACACACGUGCUACAAUGGACAAUACAAAGGGCAGCGAAACCGCGAGGUCAAGCAAAUCCCAUAAAGUUGUUCUCAGUUCGGAUUGUAGUCUGCAACUCGACUACAUGAAGCUGGAAUCGCUAGUAAUCGUAGAUCAGCAUGCUACGGUGAAUACGUUCCCGGGUCU